rnacentral:rRNA from 1 species
GUGGGGAAUUUUGGACAAUGGGCGCAAGCCUGAUCCAGCAAUGCCGCGUGCAGGAAGAAGGCCUUCGGGUUGUAAACUGCUUUUGUACGGAACGAAACGGUCCUGGCUAAUAUCCGGGGCUAAUGACGGUACCGUAAGAAUAAGCACCGGCUAACUACGUGCCAGCAGCCGCGGUAAUACGUAGGGUGCAAGCGUUAAUCGGAAUUACUGGGCGUAAAGCGUGCGAAGGCGGUUUUGUAAGACAGGCGUGAAAUCCCCGGGCUCAACCUGGGAAUUGCGCCUGUGACUGCAAGGCUGGAGUGCGGCAGAGGGGGAUGGAAUUCCGCGUGUAGCAGUGAAAUGCGUAGAUAUGCGGAGGAACACCGAUGGCGAAGGCAAUCCCCUGGGCCUGCACUGACGCUCAUGCACGAAAGCGUGGGGAGCAAACAGGAUUAGAUACCCGGGUAGUCC